rnacentral:tRNA from 1 species
GCCGGUGUAGCUCAGUGGUAGAGCAACUGAUUCGUAAGCAGUAGGUCGCAGGUUCAAGUCCAGUCACCGGCU